UUAGAACUCUGCCCAGCUACCAUGAAAAUAAGCCCAAAGUAACCUGCUGGAGGAUGAGACACCACGUGGAAGACAGACAAGCCAUGCCACUGCCUGUGGAUGCAUAGCAGGCAGUUGGCUGGAGAGAAAAGAGUAAUUCUGUGGGCAGGCUGGCUGAACACUGCUCAGGCAGACAGCGUCCCCUGGACAAGUUGGCCAUGGAUUGGGGAGGUGGAGAGAGACCAGGAAGGAGCAGCAGCAUCUCCUAUCUUUGCAGCUGUGGCCUUCCGUAGUUCACUGCCCCUCGGCACACAGUUGUACAUUCUUCGUUGUGGGUCCUUCUAGUUGUGGUAUGUGGGACGCUGCCUCAGCGUGGUUUGAUGAGCAGUGCCAUGUCCACGCCCAGGAUUCGAACUGACGAAACACUGGUCCGCCUGCAGCGGAGCGCAAGAACUUAACCACUCAGCCACGGGGCCAGCCCCCACUAUUGAGAAAUUUUACAUCUUUCUUUUUUCUUCUUGAAUUCAUAUUUCUUUUCUACUUCCUUCACAAACCUUUAACAUAAUUUAACAUAGUUUUAAAGUUUGAAAAUCUUUUAUUGAUC
rnacentral:lncRNA from 1 species